GCCCGCCCCCAAGCCCAGCCCCGCGUCGCGCGCAGACCCUGCAGUCCGACGGCGAGGCCAGCAGUGAUACCUUUCCUAACCUCGGCGAGACUUUUGAGUAAAAGCCUUGGAGAAUGAAAGUCACAUCUCUUUUGGUCGGAAGCCAAGCUUUUCCUGUGAUGACUGAUACAAGAAUGAAAGGAUUCAGGCUCCUAGGUGAAAAAAUGAGAUGGAGUGAAGUUGGAUUGUUCAAGGUCACAUGAUGGAGCCAGCACCCUGGAGAGGGGGGUUAAGCAUCAUUGGAGAAGUGAGGAGAGAAAGAAUAUUGCAGAGGAAAAGGAUUUCCAGCACCUAUGCAAGACAGACUCUGAAAGAAAAGAUGGUCAGCUGACAACUUAUUGAAAAAUAAAUA